AUUGAACGCUGGCGGCAGGCCUAACACAUGCAAGUCGAGCGGAGCGGCGGACGGGUGAGUAAUGCCUAGGAAUCUGCCUGGUAGUGGGGGAUAACGUCCGGAAACGGGCGCUAAUACCGCAUACUCUCAGAUGAGCCUAGGUCGGAUUAGCUAGUUGGUGGGGUAAGGGCCUACCAAGGCGACGAUCCGUAACUGGUCUGAGAGGAUGAUCAGUCACCCGGGGACUGAGAAACGGGCCAGAAUCCUACGGGAGGCAGCAGUGGGGAAUAUUGGGCAAUGGGCGAAAGCCUGGUCCAGCCAUGCCGCGGGUGUGAAGAAGGUCUUCGGAUUGUAAAGCACUUUAAGUUGGGAGGCGGUACCAACAGAAUAAGCACCGGCUAACUUCGUGCCAGCAGCCGCGGUAAUUC
rnacentral:rRNA from 1 species